CACGAACAUUUACACAGGCCCGGUUCUACGAACAUUUUGGAUUGUAUUACAACAAUUCAAGCCUGCGUGAGCGGAACUGUCAGCAUGCUAGAUGUCAAUGGCUUUGGUUGGAUCGAAGACUUUGAUGUCAGCUGUAGUUGCAGGGAUGGUGAGGAGCGCAUCAAAGAGAUCAAGGACAUCAGGACACCUAUGGCGGAGCAUUCGGUUUACAGUAGGCCAGGUCUUCUCAAAGGUUCCUUUAGCAGGGUCAGACAGCAUUAUGCACAUGCAAACAAUUAUUUUCAAAUGCAACUUUAGUUUUAAAAGAUAGCAUCAUAUUUGGAUUGUGCCUUUAACAAAUGGCAUUCACUCUGAUUGCUG
ensembl:lncRNA